rnacentral:rRNA from 1 species
UGGCGCGAACGGGUCCCNGAACACGUGUUGAACCUACCCUGUGGUGAGGGAUACCGGCGAGAAAUCGCCGACAAGCCCGCAUAGGCUUCUCGUGAGGGAAGCAAAGCCGCAAGGCGCCAGAGGAGGGGCCCGCGGCCGAUUAGCUGGCUGGUGGGGUAAGGGCUCACCACGGCGACGAUCGGUAGCUGGUCUGAAAGGACGAUCAGCCACACUGGGAUUGAGAACGGCCCAGACUCCUACGGGGGGCACCAGUGAGGAAUUUUCCGCAAUGGAGGCAACUCUGACGGAGCAACGCCGCGUGCAGGAAGACGGCCUUCGGGUUGUAAACUGCUUUUCUCACGGAAGAGGCAAGGACGGUACCUGAGGAAGAAGCCCCGGCUAACUACGUGCCAGCAGCCGCGGUAAU